GGCUACACACGUGCUACAAUGGGUAGAACAGAGAGUCGCAAAGCCGUGAGGUGAAGCUAAUCUCAGAAAACUAUUCUUAGUUCGGAUUGUACUCUGCAACUCGAGUACAUGAAGUUGGAAUCGCUAGUAAUCGCGAAUCAGCAAUGUCGCGGUGAAUACGUUCUCGGGUCUUGUACACACCGCCCGUCACACCACGAGAGUUGGUUGCACCUGAAGUAGCAGGCCUAACCGUAAGGAGGGAUGCUCCGAGGGUGUGAUUAGCGAUUGGGGUGAAGUCGUAACAAGGUAUCCGUACGGGAACGU
rnacentral:rRNA from 1 species